AAGAUACUCCCUCCGUCCAAAAUUCUUGUCUUAGAUUUGUUUAGAUACGAGUGUAUCUAGUCAAGUUUUAGUACUUAGAUACAAUAAUUUCUAGAUAAAGUUAAGACAAGAAUUUUGGGACGGAGGGAGUAGUAG
rnacentral:pre_miRNA from 1 species